GGGUUGUGAGGUUAAGCGACUAAGCGUACACGGUGGAUGCCCUGGCAGUCAGAGGCGAUGAAGGACGUGCUAAUCUGCGAUAAGCGUCGGUAAGGUGAUAUGAACCGUUAUAACCGGCGAUUUCCGAAUGGGGAAACCCAGUGUGUUUCGACACACUAUCAUUAACUGAAUCCAUAGGUUAAUGAGGCGAACCGGGGGAACUGAAACAUCUAAGUACCCCGAGGAAAAGAAAUCAACCGAGAUUCCCCCAGUAGCGGCGAGCGAACGGGGAGCAGCCCAGAGCCUGAAUCAGUGUGUGUGUUAGUGGAAGCGUCUGGAAAGGCGCGCGAUACAGGGUGACAGCCCCGUACACAAAAAUGCACAUGCUGUGAGCUCGAUGAGUAGGGCGGGACACGUGGUAUCCUGUCUGAAUAUGGGGGGACCAUCCUCCAAGGCUAAAUACUCCUGACUGACCGAUAGUGAACCAGUACCGUGAGGGAAAGGCGAAAAGAACCCCGGCGAGGGGAGUGAAAAAGAACCUGAAACCGUGUACGUACAAGCAGUGGGAGCACGCUUAGGCGUGUGACUGCGUACCUUUUGUAUAAUGGGUCAGCGACUUAUAUUCUGUAGCAAGGUUAACCGAAUAGGGGAGCCGAAGGGAAACCGAGUCUUAACUGGGCGUUAAGUUGCAGGGUAUAGACCCGAAACCCGGUGAUCUAGCCAUGGGCAGGUUGAAGGUUGGGUAACACUAACUGGAGGACCGAACCGACUAAUGUUGAAAAAUUAGCGGAUGACUUGUGGCUGGGGGUGAAAGGCCAAUCAAACCGGGAGAUAGCUGGUUCUCCCCGAAAGCUAUUUAGGUAGCGCCUCGUGAAUUCAUCUCCGGGGGUAGAGCACUGUUUCGGCAAGGGGGUCAUCCCGACUUACCAACCCGAUGCAAACUGCGAAUACCGGAGAAUGUUAUCACGGGAGACACACGGCGGGUGCUAACGUCCGUCGUGAAGAGGGAAACAACCCAGACCGCCAGCUAAGGUCCCAAAGUCAUGGUUAAGUGGGAAACGAUGUGGGAAGGCCCAGACAGCCAGGAUGUUGGCUUAGAAGCAGCCAUCAUUUAAAGAAAGCGUAAUAGCUCACUGGUCGAGUCGGCCUGCGCGGAAGAUGUAACGGGGCUAAACCAUGCACCGAAGCUGCGGCAGCGACGCUGAUGCGUUGUUGGGUAGGGGAGCGUUCUGUAAGCCUGCGAAGGUGUGCUGUGAGGCAUGCUGGAGGUAUCAGAAGUGCGAAUGCUGACAUAAGUAACGAUAAAGCGGGUGAAAAGCCCGCUCGCCGGAAGACCAAGGGUUCCUGUCCAACGUUAAUCGGGGCAGGGUGAGUCGACCCCUAAGGCGAGGCCGAAAGGCGUAGUCGAUGGGAAACAGGUUAAUAUUCCUGUACUUGGUGUUACUGCGAAGGGGGGACGGAGAAGGCUAUGUUGGCCGGGCGACGGUUGUCCCGGUUUAAGCGUGUAGGCUGGUUUUCCAGGCAAAUCCGGAAAAUCAAGGCUGAGGCGUGAUGACGAGGCACUACGGUGCUGAAGCAACAAAUGCCCUGCUUCCAGGAAAAGCCUCUAAGCAUCAGGUAACAUCAAAUCGUACCCCAAACCGACACAGGUGGUCAGGUAGAGAAUACCAAGGCGCUUGAGAGAACUCGGGUGAAGGAACUAGGCAAAAUGGUGCCGUAACUUCGGGAGAAGGCACGCUGAUAUGUAGGUGAAGUCCCUCGCGGAUGGAGCUGAAAUCAGUCGAAGAUACCAGCUGGCUGCAACUGUUUAUUAAAAACACAGCACUGUGCAAACACGAAAGUGGACGUAUACGGUGUGACGCCUGCCCGGUGCCGGAAGGUUAAUUGAUGGGGUUAGCGCAAGCGAAGCUCUUGAUCGAAGCCCCGGUAAACGGCGGCCGUAACUAUAACGGUCCUAAGGUAGCGAAAUUCCUUGUCGGGUAAGUUCCGACCUGCACGAAUGGCGUAAUGAUGGCCAGGCUGUCUCCACCCGAGACUCAGUGAAAUUGAACUCGCUGUGAAGAUGCAGUGUACCCGCGGCAAGACGGAAAGACCCCGUGAACCUUUACUAUAGCUUGACACUGAACAUUGAGCCUUGAUGUGUAGGAUAGGUGGGAGGCUUUGAAGUGUGGACGCCAGUCUGCAUGGAGCCGACCUUGAAAUACCACCCUUUAAUGUUUGAUGUUCUAACGUUGACCCGUAAUCCGGGUUGCGGACAGUGUCUGGUGGGUAGUUUGACUGGGGCGGUCUCCUCCUAAAGAGUAACGGAGGAGCACGAAGGUUGGCUAAUCCUGGUCGGACAUCAGGAGGUUAGUGCAAUGGCAUAAGCCAGCUUGACUGCGAGCGUGACGGCGCGAGCAGGUGCGAAAGCAGGUCAUAGUGAUCCGGUGGUUCUGAAUGGAAGGGCCAUCGCUCAACGGAUAAAAGGUACUCCGGGGAUAACAGGCUGAUACCGCCCAAGAGUUCAUAUCGACGGCGGUGUUUGGCACCUCGAUGUCGGCUCAUCACAUCCUGGGGCUGAAGUAGGUCCCAAGGGUAUGGCUGUUCGCCAUUUAAAGUGGUACGCGAGCUGGGUUUAGAACGUCGUGAGACAGUUCGGUCCCUAUCUGCCGUGGGCGCUGGAGAACUGAGGGGGGCUGCUCCUAGUACGAGAGGACCGGAGUGGACGCAUCACUGGUGUUCGGGUUGUCAUGCCAAUGGCACUGCCCGGUAGCUAAAUGCGGAAGAGAUAAGUGCUGAAAGCAUCUAAGCACGAAACUUGCCCCGAGAUGAGUUCUCCCUGACCCUUUAAGGGUCCUGAAGGAACGUUGAAGACGACGACGUUGAUAGGCCGGGUGUGUAAGCGCAGCGAUGCGUUGAGCUAACCGGUACUAAUGAACCGUGAGGCUUAACCUUACAACGCCGAAGCUGUU
rnacentral:rRNA from 1 species